ensembl:lncRNA
GUGAUUUUGGGGUGUCCGGAAGGUGGUUCUGGCGAAUCGAGCAGCUGGUUCCGGCGUGCUCGGCAGGUGGUUCAGGCGUGUCCGGCAGGUGGUUCCGGUCUGUCCAGGAGGUGGUUCCUGCAUAUCUGGCACGUGAUUCUGGCACGUCUGAGAGGUGGUAGCAGCAUGCCCGGCAGGUGAUUCUGGAGUGUCGGCCAAGUGGUUCUGGCAUAGCCUUGAGGUGAUUUGGGCAUGUCAGGCAGGUGGUUUCGGCGAGUCGAGGAGGUGGUUCCGGUGUUCUUGGCAGGUGGUUCAGGCGUGUCCGGCAGGUGGUUCCGGUCUGUCCGGGAGGUGGUUCCGGCGUGUCCAGCAGGUGGUUCCAGCGUGUCAAGGAGGUGGUUCUGGCGUGUCCGGCACGUGGUUCUGGCACGUCUGAGAGGUGGUUCCGGCAUGCCCGGCAGAUGAUUCCGGAGUGUCCACCAAGUGGUUCUGGCAUACCCGGCAGGUGAUUUUGGCGUGUCAGGUAGGUGGUUCCUGCGAGUCGAGUAGGUGGUUCCGGUGUGCUCGGCAGGUGGUUCAGGCGGGUCUGGCAGGUGGUUUCGGUCUGUUCGGGGUGUGGUUCCGGCAUCUCAGGCACAUGGUUCUGGCACGUCUGAGAGGUGGUUCCGGCCGGCCCGACAGGUGUUUCCAUGGUGUCCGCCAAGUGGUUCUGGCAUAGCUGGCAGGUGAUGUUGGCAUGACCGGCAGGUGGUUCCAGCCAGAACGGCAGUUGAUUCCGAAGUGUUCACCAACUGGUUGUGGCGUAGCCGGUAGGUAAUUUUUGCGUGUCCGCCAAGUGGUUCUGGUGUAGCUGGCAGGUGAUUUUGGUGUGACCGGCAGGUGGUUCCAGCCAGCCCGGCAGUUGAUUUCGAAGUGCUCACCAACUGGUUGUGGCGUAGCCAGCAGGUGAUUUUGGCGUGUCCGGCAGGUGGUUCUGGCGAGUCGAGCAGGUGGUUCCGGCGUGCUCGGCAGGUGCUUCCGGGGUCAUUGGCACGUGGUUCUGGCAUGUCUGAGAGGUGGUUCCGGCAUGCCCGGCAGGUGAUUCUGGAGUGUCCGGCAAGUGGUUCUGGCGUAGCCGGCAGGUGAUUUUGCAUGUCCGGCGGUGGUUCCAGCGAGUCGAGCCGGUGGUUCCACCAUGUCCAGCAGGUGGUUCCGGUCUGUCUGGCAGGUGGGUCUGGCGUGUCCGGCUCGAGGUUCUUGCAGGUCUGAGAGGUGGUUCCGGCAUGCCCGACAGGUGAUUCCGGAGUGUCCGUCAAGUGGUUCUGGCGUAGCUGGCAGGUGAUUUUGGCUUGUCCGGCAGGUGUUUCUUGUGAGUCGAGCAGGUGGCUCAGGGAUGCUCAGCAGGUGCUUCCGGCGUGUCCGGCACGUGGUUCUGGUGUGUCUGAGAGCUGGUUCUGGCAUGUCCAGCAGAUGAAUCUGGAGUGUCCACCAAGUGGUUCUCGCAUACCCGGCAGCUGAUUUUGGCGUGUCAGGUAGGUGGUUCCGGCGAGUCAAGCAGGUGGUUCCGGCGUGCUCGGCAGGUGGUUCAGGCGGGUCUGGCAGGUGGUUUCGUUCUGUUCGGGGUGUGGUUCCGGCAUCUCAGGCACAUGGUUCUGGCACGUCUGAGAGGUGGUUCCGGCCGGCCCUACAGGUGUUUCUGGAGUGUCGGCCAAGUGGUUCUGGCGUAGCUGGCAGGUGAUGUUGGCGUGACCGGCAGGUGGUUCCAGCAAGCCCGGCAGGUGAUUCUGGAGUGUCCGCCAAGUGGUUCUGGCGUAGCCAGCAGGUGAUUUUGGCAUGUCCGGCAGGUGGUUCUGGGGAGUGGAUCAGGAACUUCUGCCAUUCUCGGCAGGUGCUUCCGCCGUCUCCGGCAUGUGGUUGUGGCACCUCUGAGAGGUGGUUCCAGCAUGCCCAGCAGAUGAUUCCGAGUGUCCGACAAGUGGUUGUGGCGUAGCCGACUGGUGAUUCUGGCGUGUCCGGCAGGUGGUUCUGGCAAGUCAAACAGUUGGUCACGGCGUGUCCGGCAGCUGGUUCCAGUCUGUCCUGGGGGUGGUUCCUGAGUGUCUGCCGAGUGGUUCUGGCAUAGCCGGCAGGUGAUUUUGGCGUGUCCAGCAGGUCGUUCUGGGGAGUGGAGCAGGUGGUUCCGGCAUACUCGGCAGGUGGUUCCGGCGUGUCCGGCACAUGGUUCUGGCACGUCUGAGAGGUGGUUCCGGCAUGCCCGGCAGGUGAUCCCGGAGAGUCCUCCAAGUGGUUCUGGCGUACCCCGCAGGUGUUUCUGGUGUGUCCGGCAGGUGGCUCUGGUGAGUCGAGCAGGUGGUUCCGGCGUGCUCGGCAGGUGGUUCCGGCAGGUCCGGCAGGUGUUUGCCGUCUGUGCAUGACGUGGUUCCGGCAUGCCCGCAAGGUGAUUCUGGAGUGUCCACCAAGUGGUUUUGGUGUAGCCGGCAUAUGAUUUUGGCCUGUGAGGCAGGUGGUUCCGGCAUGCCCGGCAGGUGAUUCCGGAGUGUCUGCCGAGUGGUUCUGGCGUAGCCGGCAGGUGAUUUUGGCUUGUCCGCUAGGUGGUUCUGGCGAGUCGAGCAGGUGGUUCCGGCAUGCUCGGCAGGUGCAUCCGGUGUCAUUGGCAUGUGGGUCUGGCAUGUCUGAGAGGUGGUUCCGGCAUGCCUGGCAGGAGAUUGCAGAGUGUUCUCCAAGUGGUUCUUGCGUAGCCGGCAGGUGAUUUUGCAUGUCCGGCGGUGGUUCCGGCGAGUCGAGCCGCUUGUUCUGGCGUGUCCGUCAGGUGGUUCCGGUCUGUCCGGCAGGUGGUGCUGGGGUGUCCAGCACGAGGUUCUGGCACGUCUGAGAGGUUGUGCCAUCAUGCCCAAAACAUUAUCCCGCUUGUACUCAAAGUGGUUCUGGUGUAGCCGGCAGGUGAUUUUGGCGUGUCCGGCAGCUGGUUCCAGCGUGCUCAGCAGGUGGUUCCAGUCUGUGCAGUACAUGUUUCCAGCUUGUCCGGCAAGUGGUUCUGGUACGUCUGAGAGGUGGUUCCGGCUAGUCUGGCAGGUGGUUCCGGUCUGUCCCGGAGGUGUUUCUGGCAUGUCCGGAACGUGGUUCUGGCACGUCUGCGAGGCGCGUCGGGCAUGCCUGGCAGGUGAUUCCUGGGUGUCCUCCAAGUGGUUCUGGCAUCACCAGCAGGUUAUUUUGGCAUGUCCAGCAGGUCUUUCCUGCUUUUUGGGCUCGUGGCUCUGGCUUGUAAGACAGGUGUUGGUGGCAUUUCUGGCCUCCGGUUCUGACAUACUCCGCAGGUGGUUUCACUGUUUCUGGCACCUGUUUGCGGCAUAUCCAUCAGGUGUUUCCAAUGUGCCUGGCAUGUCGUUGUGCUGCGUUUGGAAUCUGGUUCCGUUGUGUCUGUUGUGUGCAGCUGGCAUGUUGAAGAGAUGGUUCUGCAGUGUCAGAAUUAUUGUUCCACUGUGUUCAGCAGGUGGUUACAGGUGGUUCUGGCAUGCAACGUGGGUGCUUCUGGUGUACCAGUUGGGUCGUUCUGCCAUGAAUGUGUGGUUCUUUGAGAGUGUGCGGAGGGUGUUUUUGGCAUGUCUCCCGGUGUUUUAUGGCAUCUAAGGGGCAUGAUUCCUUUUUAUGCGUCAGGUGAGUUGGUUCUCAACUUCCUAAACAGACGGAAGAAAGAUGGUCUGUGGCUUGUCGCCCCUAGAGGGUUGGAGCCAAUGCAUUGUGCAUUCCACGUCUAGAGCAAUGGAGGGCAAAACUGAGAGGAAAGGGGCCUUUCUGACAUAGGUGUUUUCUGACACUCUCUCCACCAGUGGUCAACUGUGGUUGGUGAAAAGCAUAUUGUCUCUCUCCUGCUAAACACAUGGUUGCACAAUCAUUUGGGACUCAGCCCAGUUGCUUAAGGGGAAGAUGUAGGCAUUUUGUCUGAGCUGGGUUGGCAAGGUGGAAUUGCGGCAGAAGCAGAGGUUCUAAAGCUGCGAGUUAAGGGCUGGGAAGAAAUGCCAUUUGAGCUGCCUUUGUAUGAGAAGUUCCCAGUCUGCUGUAACAGGACUUUGGAAAGCGAGUUGUUUGUCAGCUUCCUAAAGAGCUGGGGGCAAGACAGUUUAUGGCUUGUCUCCCAUUGAAGGAUGGAGGCAGUGCUUUGUGCCUUCCACCUGCAGAGCAGUGGAGGGCACGGCUGAGAGCAAAGGGGGCUUUCUGCCAUAGGUGCUUUCUGAUCCCCUUCAGGGGUGGUGCCAGUGCCUUGUGCCUCCUGCCUCUAGAGGAAUGGAGGGCACGGCCGAGAGUAAAGGGCCUUUCUGACAUUGGUGCUUUCUGACACUCCCCCAACCAUUGCUCAAAGGCGGUUUGUUCAAAGCCUAUUGUCUGUCUCCUCCUCAGCAUGUGGAACCACAAUCAUCCGGGCCUCAUCCCCUUUGCUCAAGGGGAAGAUGUAGGCAUUUCUUCUGAGCCGAAUUGGCAAGGUGGAAAUGCGGCAGAAGCGGAUGUUGCAGAUUUUCGAGUUAAGGGCUGAAAAGACACGGCGUUCAGCUGCCUUGCUAUGAGAUGUUCCCAGGACGCUGUAAGAGCACUGUGGAAUGCGAGUGCUUUCCCAGCUUCCUAAAGAGCUGGAAGCAGGACAGUUGAUGGCUUGUCUGCAAUUGAAGGAUGGAGGCAGUGCUUUGUGCCUUCCACCUCUAGAGCAAUGGAGGGCACGGCUGAGAGCAAAGGGACCUUUCUGACAUUGGUGCUUUCUGGCACUCCCCCAACCAUUGCUCAAGGGCGGUUGGUUAAAAGCCUAUUGUCUCUCUCCUACUAAGCAGGUGCAA